AUUUAUUCUCAGGGCGGGGUGUAAUUCCCCACCGGCGGUAUAUAACGCAUUGUGACGUUAUCAGCCCGCGAGCGCUUGAUUUUCGGAUCAAGGUCAGCAGAUCUGGUGAGAUGCCAGAGCCGACAGUAAUAGUCUGGAUGGGAGAGGAUAUAU
rnacentral:ncRNA from 2 species